rnacentral:rRNA from 1 species
CCUACGGGUGGCAGCAGUGGGGAAUAUUGCACAAUGGGGGGAACCCUGAUGCAGCGACGCCGCGUGGGUGAAGGAGUACUUCGGUACGUAAAGCCCUAUCAGCAGGAAAGAAAAUGACGGUACCUGACUAAGAAGCCCCGGCUAACUACGUGCCAGCAGCCGCGGUAAUACGUAGGGGGCAAGCGUUAUCCGGAUUUACUGGGUGUAAAGGGAGCGCAGACGGCGAUGCAAGCCAGGAGUGAAAGCCCGGGGCCCAACCCCGGGACUGCUCUUGGAACUGCGUGGCUGGAGUGCAGGAGGGGCAGGCGGAAUUCCUGGUGUAGCGGUGAAAUGCGUAGAUAUCAGGAGGAACACCGGUGGCGAAGGCGGCCUGCUGGACUGCAACUGACGUUGAGGCCCGAAAGCGUGGGGAGCAAACAGGAUUAGAUACCCGAGUAGUC